GACGUAGGCUAAGUGGGAUGAAGAGCGCCGUCGUGCCGAGGAGGCCGAGAGAGAACAUGCGGAAGUGAAGGCGACGCUGCAAAGCCACGACGAGAGGUUUGCUUCUUAUGACCAGCUAUUUGCGAUGUUGCGUGCAGCUGGUGCACCUGGUAUGGCCGGCGCACCUCCUCUUCCUCCUCUCCCACCUGUCCCUCCUCUUUCUGGGCCAUUUGUAAGUUGUUUUGCAUCUUUUUCGUUCUAGGGAAUUUUAUUUGUGUCAUGCACCUUCUCAUGCAUGCAUACUCCUUUACCAUGCUUGCAGGGAAUCCCAUCGGCUGGUUCUCACAACCCGUCGCACCAGUCGGAUGCAAGCCCUGUGACCCCAGCCGGUAGUACGAGCAUGCCUCCGCCGGCCAAUCCUGACCUUCACAGCCUAAGGAGGCAACUUUGAUUUCAUCGAGGACUCCUAGGUUGAUGUGGACUUGCAUGUGUUGAUCGCAGAGUCGAGGAACCCAUGAUGGAUUUGUACUCGUUUGUUGAUUGAGGAUCAUAGUGUGUCUUGUAGUUUAUGAUCGU